rnacentral:rRNA from 1 species
UACGUAGGGCGGCAAGCGUUGUCCGGAAUUAUUGGCGUAAAGGAGCUUGUAGGCGGUCUGUCGCGUCUGACUGUGAAAAUCCGGGGCUCAACCCCGGACUUGCAGUGGGUACGGGCAGACUAGAGUGUGGGUAGGGGAGACUGGAAAUUCCUGGUGUAGCGGUGAAAUGCGCAGAUAUCAGGAGGACACCGGUGGCGAAGGCGGGUCUCUGGGCCGAUACUGACGCUGAGGAGCGGAAAGCAUGGGUAGCGAACAGG